UGUGAAACCACCGCGGGGCGACGGAAGUCCCCGUUGAAGAGUGUAGGCGUUGAGGAUGGCAGGCAAAUCCACCGUCCGAGCUGAACUUGAUAGUAUGGAGUCUUCUUCGGAAGAAUCCAAUAGUGUGGGUAAUCAUACUCCCGAGAAAAUCCGCUAAGCUUAACCCAUGCGGCACCCGUACCGCAAACGGACACACGUGGUCGGGUAGAACAUACUGAGGCGUUGAGAGAUUCAUGGUUAAGGAACUAGGCAAAUUGACCCUGUAACUUCGGGAUAAAGGGUCCUCGUGAAGAGCGAGGCGCAGAGAAUAGGUCCAGGCAACUGUUUAACAAAAACACAGGGCUGUGCAAACUCGAAAGAUGACGUAUACAGCCUGACACCUGCCCGGUGCCGGAAGGUUAAGAGGAGAUGUCACACUUAUGUGGAAGCAUUGAAUUGAAGCCCCGGUAAACGGCGGCCGUAACAAUAACGGUCCUAAGGUAGCGAAAUUCCUUGUCGGGUAAGUUCCGACCUGCACGAAUGGUGUAAUGAUCCGGACGCUGUCUCAACCAUGAGCUCAGUGAAAUUGUAGUAUCGGUGAAGAUGCCGAUUACCCGCGAUGGGACGAAAAGACCCCGUGAACCUUUACUACAGCUUAGCAUUGACCUUGGUCAUCCGAUGUGUAGGAUAGGCCGGAGGCUUCGAAGCGGGAGCGCCAGCUUUCGUGGAGCCAUCCUUGAAAUACGGCCCUUUGGCUGUCUGAGGUCUAACGCGCGAUGCGCGGACACUGCUUGGUGGGUAGUUUGACUGGGGUGGUCGCCUCCAAAAGCGUAACGGAGGCUUCCAAAGGUGCCCUCGGGUCGAUUGGUAACCGACCUCAAAGAGUGCAAUGGCAUAAGGGCGCUUGACUGGGAGGCAGACAUGCCGAGCAGGCAGGAAACUGGGGCAUAGUGAUCCGGCGGAUGUGUAUGGAAACUCCGUCGCUCAAAGGAUAAAAGGUUCUCCGGGGAUAACAGGCUGAUCCCCCCCGAGAGCUCAUAUCGACGGGGUGGUUUGACACCUUGAUGUCGGCUUGUCACAUCCUGGGGCUGGAGAAGGUCCCAAGGGUUGGGCUGUUCGCCCAUUAAAGUGGCACGCGAGCUGGGUUCAGAACGUCGUGAGACAGUUCGGUCUCUAUCUAUCGUGGGCGUGGGAGUUUUGCGUGGUGCCGUCACUAGUACGAGAGGACCGUGAUGGACAGACCUCCGGUUUACCAGUUGUGCCGCCAGGCGCACCGCUGGGUAUCUGAGUCUGGAUUGGAUAAGCGCUGAAAGCAUCUAAGUGCGAAGCCAGCCGCAAGAUGAGAACUCCAUUGAGGGUCGUCAGAGACGAUGACGUUGAUAGGAUGCAGGUGUAAAGACAGCGAUGUCAAAGCCGAGCAUUACUAAUUGCCU
rnacentral:rRNA from 1 species